AGCCAGACUCCUACGGGAGGCAGCAGUGGGGAAUAUUGCGCAAUGGGCGAAAGCCUGACGCAGCGACGCCGCGUGAGGGAUGAAGGUCUUCGGAUCGUAAACCUCUGUCAGCAGGGAAGAACGGUCACUGUGCUAAUCAGCAGUGAAUUGACGGUACCUGCAAAGGAAGCACCGGCUAACUCCGUGCCAGCAGCCGCGGUAAUACGUAGGGAGCAAGCGUUGUUCGGAAUGACUGGGCGUAAAGGGUGCGUAGGCGGUUGUACAAGUUAGAAGUGAAAUACCCAGGGCUUAACUCGGGUGCUGCUUCUAAAACUGUAUGACUUGAGUGCAGUAGAGGUUAGUGGAAUUCCUAGUGUAGCGGUGGAAUGCGUAGAUAUUAGGAGGAACACCAGAGGCGAAGGCGGCUAACUGGACUGCAACUGACGCUGAGGCACGAAAGUGUGGGGAGCAAACAGGAUUAGAUACCCGCGUACG
rnacentral:rRNA from 1 species